CUAAUUCCACUCCUCCAGUCUCUGACUUUUGCAUCUUUAGGCUAACUACUGCCGCAGGCUGGGGCCAGCAGUCAGGAGGCUAGAGGUGGCUCACUGCUCUGCCGUGAGACCUUGGGCAGCACAUUUCACAGUUCACCUCUCAGGGCACUAUAUCCUCUUUCCCCGUGGAAUGGGUCUAACAUAGCUUACCCCACCUUCCCUACAGGCACUCAAGGUUCUGAGCACUAAAAACAGGUGCCCUCCAAGUGUGGGUAGACAGGGGGAAGGGAUUCUCGUUACAGCUCGAGUGGAACUCACUCAAAAGACACCAGGACUUGGUAGAAGAUCCCUAGACACCUCUCUCUUCUUCACACCUGUGACGGCAAGCCCCUCUUUCCUGGGGACUUAGAAGCCACCCAGUAUCUCCAGGACUACAUGGACCAGGGAAGCAGCAGCGCAGCUCAGUAGCAAACACCUCGUGACAGUGCAUAGUUAAACAAUCAAGGAAGCAACAGAAGAUGUUAUGUGAACACAGCUCAAGUCUAACAGAAGGAAGUCAGUCGGGUGGGAGGGGCAGAGGACGACUGACAGCACUUGGAGGCGCACCCAGGACGAUCCGCUGGAAGCGAGGACGACGCUAACGUGGCAGUGGAACAUCAACAGCAUGGAAACUCACGGACGGACGGACGGACGGACAGACGGACGGAAGCAGCUUUGUUCAAUGUAAACAUUGAUUUGUUUUUGUUUUUCGUUUUUUUUUUUUUAAAGGAAACGACAGCAGAUUCAAGUCUUUCUCUCUCCUGUGUGAUCUCUCACGCUCACUCGCUCGCUCGCUCGCUCGCUCGCUCUCCUUCUCAUAUACUCUUUUCUUUGAAAACGUAAACAUA
rnacentral:lncRNA from 1 species